GGUCUGUCAAGUCGGAUGUGAAAUCCCCGGGCUCAACCUGGGAACUGCAUUCGAAACUGGCAGGCUAGAGUCUUGUAGAGGGGGGUAGAAUUCCAGGUGUAGCGGUGAAAUGCGUAGAGAUCUGGAGGAAUACCGGUGGCGAAGGCGGCCCCCUGGACAAAGACUGACGCUCAGGUGCGAAAGCGUGGGGAGCAAACAGGAUUAGAUACCCUGGUAGUCCACGCCGUAAACGAUGUCGAUUUGGAGGUUGUGCCCUUGAGGCGUGGCUUCCGGAGCUAACGCGUUAAAUCGACCGCCUGGGGAGUACGGCCGCAAGGUUAAAACUCAAAUGAAUUGACGGGGGCCCGCACAAGCGGUGGAGCAUGUGGUUUAAUUCGAUGCAACGCGAAGAACCUUACCUGGUCUUGACAUCCACAGAACUUUCCAGAGAUGGAUUGGUGCCUUCGGGAACUGUGAGACAGGUGCUGCAUGGCUGUCGUCAGCUCGUGUUGUGAAAUGUUGGGUUAAGUCCCGCAACGAGCGCAACCC
rnacentral:rRNA from 2 species